rnacentral:snoRNA from 1 species
GAUCAAUGAUGAAAACAGCCAAAUCUGAGUCUGAGA